UGUUGUCCUGCCAAGGGCAUAGCAGAGUAGCUAUAUACGGAAUGGAUAACCGCUGAAGGCAUCUAAGCGGGAAACCAACCUGAAAACGAGUAUUCCCUGAGAGUCGUGGAAGACUACCACGUUGAUAGGCUGGGUGUGGAAGCGCGGUGACGUGUGAAGCUUACCAGUACUAAUAGCUCGAUCGGCUUGAAUCGUUCUCAUU
rnacentral:rRNA from 1 species